rnacentral:misc_RNA from 1 species
UUUCCGUAGGUGAACCUGCGGAAGGAUCAUUACUGAGUGUUGACACGCAAGUGUUACCUCCCACCCUAUGUUUAUAUGACCUGUUGCUUCGGCGAGCCGUCUUUUUGACCGUCGACUUUUGUGGACGAGUGCUUGCCGAAGGUACAAACUCUUGAAUUUUAUUGUCUGAGUAAAUAUAAAACAAAUAAAAACUUUCAACAACGGAUCUCUUGGUUCUGGCAUCGAUGAAGAACGCAGC